rnacentral:rRNA from 1 species
CAGCAGCCGCGGGAAUACGUAGGGUGCGAGCGUUAAUCGGAAUUACUGGGCGUAAAGCGGGCGCAGACGGUUACUUAAGCAGGAUGUGAAAUCCCCGGGCUCAACCUGGGAACUGCGUUCUGAACUGGGUGACUAGAGUGUGUCAGAGGGAGGUAGAAUUCCACGUGUAGCAGUGAAAUGCGUAGAGAUGUGGAGGAAUACCGAUGGCGAAGGCAGCCUCCUGGGAUAACACUGACGCUCAUGCCCGAAGGCGUGGGUAGCAAACAGGAUUAGAUACCCCGGUAGUCCCUGUCUCUUAUAC